AUUGAACGCUGGCGGCAUGCCUUACACAUGCAAGUCGAACGGUAACGGGCCUUCGGGUGCCGACGAGUGGCGAACGGGGGAGUAAUACAUCGGAACGUGCCCGAUCGUGGGGGAUAACGAGGCGAAAGCUUUGCUAAUACCGCAUACGAUCUACGGAUGAAAGCAGGGGACCGCAAGGCCUUGCGCGGGCGGAGCGGCCGAUGGCAGAUUAGGUAGUUGGUGGGGUAAAAGCUUACCAAGCCGACGAUCUGUAGCUGGUCUGAGAGGAUGAUCAGCCACACUGGGACUGAGACACGGCCCAGACUCCUACGGGAGGCAGCAGUGGGGAAUUUUGGACAAUGGGCGCAAGCCUGAUCCAGCCAUGCCGCGUGCAGGAUGAAGGCCUUCGGGUUGUAAACUGCUUUUGUACGGAACGAAAAGCCUUCUUUUAAUACAGGAGGGUCAUGACGGUACCGUAAGAAUAAGCACCGGCUAACUACGUG
rnacentral:rRNA from 1 species